CCUACGGGUGGCAGCAGUGGGGAAUAUUGGACAAUGGGGGCAACCCUGAUCCAGCCAUGCCGCGUGUGUGAAGAAGGCCCUCGGGUUGUAAAGCACUUUCAGUGAGGAAGAACGCCUGGUGGUUAAUACCCAUCAGGAAAGACAUCACUCACAGAAGAAGCACCGGCUAACUCCGUGCCAGCAGCCGCGGUAAUACGGAGGGUGCGAGCGUUAAUCGGAAUUACUGGGCGUAAAGCGCGCGUAGGUGGCUUGAUAAGCCGGUUGUGAAAGCCCCGGGCUCAACCUGGGAACGGCAUCCGGAACUGUCAAGCUAGAGUGCAGGAGAGGAAGGUAGAAUUCCCGGUGUAGCGGUGAAAUGCGUAGAGAUCGGGAGGAAUACCAGUGGCGAAGGCGGCCUUCCGGACUGACACUGACACUGAGGUGCGAAAGCGUGGGUAGCAAACAGGAUUAGAUACCCUUGUAGUC
rnacentral:rRNA from 1 species